rnacentral:rRNA from 1 species
UACGUAGGGGGCAAGCGUUGUCCGGAAUGAUUGGGCGUAAAGGGCGCGUAGGCGGCCUGGUAAGUCUGGAGUGAAAGUCCUGCUUUUAAGGUGGGAAUUGCUUUGGAUACUGCUGGGCUUGAGUGCAGGAGAGGUAAGUGGAAUUCCCGGUGUAGCGGUGAAAUGCGUAGAGAUCGGGAGGAACACCAGUGGCGAAGGCGACUUACUGGACUGUAACUGACGCUGAGGCGCGAAAGUGUGGGGAGCAAACAGGAUUAGAUACCCUGGUAGUCCACACUGUAAACGAUGAAUGCUAGGUGUAGGGGGUAUCGACCCCUUCUGUGCCGGAGUAAACACAAUAAGCAUUCCGCCUGGGGAGUACGGCCGCAAGGUUGAA